rnacentral:rRNA from 1 species
AUGAACGCUGGCGGCGUGCCUAAUACAUGCAAGUCGAGCGAACGGACGAGAAGCUUGCUUCUCUGAUGUUAGCGGCGGACGGGUGGGUAACACGUGGAUAACCUACCUAUAAGACUGGGAUAACUUCGGGAAACCGGAGCUAAUACCGGAUAAUAUUUUGAACCGCAUGGUUCAAAAGGGAAAGACGGUCUUGCUGUCACUUAUAGAUGGAUCCGCGCUGCAUUAGCUAGUUGGUAAGGUAACGGCUUACCAAGGCAACGAUGCAUAGCCGACCUGAGAGGGUGAUCGGCCACACUGGAACUGAGACACGGUCCAGACUCCUACGGGAGGCAGCAGUAGGGAAUCUUCCGCAAAGGGCGAAAGCCUGACGGAGCAACGCCGCGUGAGUGAUGAAGGUCUUCGGAUCGUAAAACUCUGUUAUUAGGGAAGAACAUAUGUGUAAGUAACUGUGCACAUCUUGACGGUACCUAAUCAGAAAGCCACGGCUAACUACGUG